UGUUGCCUCAUAUGGGGAAAGAAGCUUUUCAGAUGUGAUUAAGCUAAGGACCUUGAGAUGGGGAGAUUAUUCUGGAUUAUCCUCAUGGAGGUCUAAAAAAUUACUCAUGUGCUUUAACAGAAGAAGAGAGGGAGGUUUUACACCCAGAGAGGAAAGGAGAAUUUGAAGAUGGAGACAGAGCUUGGAGUAAUGGUCUCCAGUCCAACAGAUGCUGGCAGCCACCAGACGCUGUUACAAAAUAAGAGUACUGACUGAAUUCCUUACUCCGUUGGCCCUGAUUCCUUACUCCUUUGACCCAUCUGUCUGGCACAAGAAGUUCAACACGUCCUGCAAUUGUAUGUAAUUCAAUGGGGCUCUUGCAGAAUCACAUGGCAAGAGUUUUCUCUAUUUGGGACUAGAACCUCCAAGAGUGAAGAGCUAAGAUUUGCUGAGACAAGAAGCACCAAAUCCUUCAAUAAAUCAGUGGGACAGCUCCUAUUUAUAGGCCCUUGAUUCCUGGAUUCUUCUUGUCCAGAACAGAGCACUAUAUACAGAUUGCUGAAUUGACAUAAAUACAUUGUGUCCUGAAAGAUGGCACUCCAUUUUUUUAGAGAGUCUCCUCCAAGCUAACACUUCAGUUUCACCUUUAUAAUGCCAUUGCAAAAUGUUGCCUCUGUGUGAUGUGAUUUGUGAUACAACCAGCAGAUCGCAUGGUCAUGGGCCCACUCCUGUACCUCCAUCACUGGAAAGUGAUGGGCAAAUGCAUUGAAAUCAGUAAAGUGCGCCAAGAAGAUCUGCCCUCACCAAUGUCUGUUCAUCAUCCUCUCUGCUGAGGGCCUGAGAAAGGGUAAAACAUAUGACAGAAUGGAACAUAUUCUCAGAAGAAGAAAAAUUAAGAAGAGUAAGGGAAGGAGAAGGAGAGUCAAGAAAUGAGCAUCAGCAGCAAUUUUUGGGGGGAAAGAAUUUGAAGAAUUUUUAACUAUUUAGGAGAAGAUAAGACAAACUAUCUGUGAAAACAAUACGCAGAGUUGUGUGACCAUCAUCAUAUUCUAAGUUUAAAACAUUUCAUCACUCCAAAAAGAAACCUUGUAUCUUUUAGCAAUCACUCCUUCUUAUCUCCCAUUCCCUUCUCCAGUCCUAAUCAACCAAAAACAUCAGAUCACAACUAAAGGAAAGCAAUCACAAUUACUUCCAAUUUCUCAGGACAAACUAUAAAAUCCAGGAAGCCUUGGGAUGAUGUGUUCCAAGUUCUGAAAGAAAAUAUCAAAAUAAUUCUUAAUAAAGAUUGUUGUGUCCAGUAAAACUAUCCUUCAGAAUCAAAGCAAAAAUAAAAACCAUCUAAAAUAAGCAGAAACUGUCAUGACUUUUAAACCGGCACUACAGAAAAAUAGUUAAAGAAAUAUUAUACAUAGAAGAACUCAAAAACAAACCCAAGUUCACAAAUAGUCAAAUCUCAUUUGAAGAGUAGCUUAACAAAUGAUAAAUGGGACCAACUUGAAUAUUAGAACUAAAUCAAAAUAUCAGAAAUUUAAUAAACAAUACUCCAAGGACUGAAGAUCAGCAUACUACAGUAAUGCAGCCACAUCAAUGUUCAUAGCAGGU